CCUACGGGAGGCUGCAGUGAGGAAUAUUGGUCAAUGGUCGAAAGCCUGAACCAGCCAAGUCGCGUGCAGGAUGACGGCCCUAUGGUUUGUAAACUGCUUUUAUACGGGAAUAAAGUGCGUAACGUGUUCUUUUUUGUAUGUACCGUAUGAAUAAGGAUCGGCUAAUUCCGUGCCAGCAGCCGCGGUAAUACGGAGGGUGCGGGCGUUAUCCGGAUUUAUUGGGUUUAAAGGGUGCGUAGGUGGUUAAUUAAGUCAGCGGUGAAAGUUUGUGGCUCAACCAUAAAAUUGCCGGUGAAACUGGUUGACUUGAGUAUAUUUAAGGUAGGCGGAAUGCGUGGUGUAGCGGUGAAAUGCAUAGAUAUCACGCAGAACUCCGAUUGCGAAGGCAGCUUACUAAACUAUAACUGACACUGAAGCACGAAAGCGUGGGGAUCAAACAGGAUUAGAUACCCUUGUAGUC
rnacentral:rRNA from 1 species